rnacentral:ncRNA from 20 species
GUAAAAAGACCUACAAAAUAGGUUCUUUACUAUCCUUUCUGAUCCCAUGCUCAGAGUCGCCAAACUUUGAGAGCGUGGGAUUUUUU